AUUGAACGCUGGCGGCAUGCCUUACACAUGCAAGUCGAACGGCAGCACGGGUGCUUGCACCUGGUGGCGAGUGGCGAACGGGUGAGUAAUACAUCGGAACGUACCUUAUCGUGGGGGAUAACGCAGCGAAAGCUGUGCUAAUACCGCAUACGCCCUGAGGGGGAAAGCGGGGGAUCGAAAGACCUCGCGCGAUUAGAGCGGCCGAGGCCUGGUUAGCUUGUUGGUUGGGUAAAAGCCCCCCAAGGCGACGAUCAGUACCUGGGAUGAGAGGACGAUCAGCCAAACUGGGACGGAGACACGGCCCGGCCUCCUACGGGAGGCAGCAGGGGGGAACUUUGGACAAUGGGGGCAACCCUGAUCCAGCAAUGCCGCGUGAGUGAAGAAGGCCUUCGGGUUGUAAAGCUCUUUUGUCAGGGAAGAAACACCGGCUCUAACACAGUCCGGGAAUGACGGUACCUGAAGAAUAAGCACCGGUUAACUACGUGCCAGCCGCCGCGGUAA
rnacentral:rRNA from 1 species